AAUAGAUACCCGGGUAGUCCACGCCGUAAACGAUGAGUGCUAAGUGUUAGAGGGUUUCCGCCCUUUAGUGCUGCAGCUAACGCAUUAAGCACUCCGCCUGGGGAGUACGGCCGCAAGGCUGAAACUCAAAGGAAUUGACGGGGGCCCGCACAGCGGUGGAGCAUGUGGUUUAAUUCGAAGCAACGCGAAGAACCUUACCAGGUCUUGACAUCCUCUGCCAACCCUAGAGAUAGGGCGUUCCCCUUCGGGGGACAGAGUGACAGGUGGUGCAUGGUUGUCGUCAGCUCGUGUCGUGAGAUGUUGGGUUAAGUCCCGCAACGAGCGCAACCCUUGAUCUUAGUUGCCAGCAUUCAGUUGGGCACUCUAAGGUGACUGCCGGUGACAAACCGGAGGAAGGUGGGGAUGACGUCAAAUCAUCAUGCCCCUUAUGACCUGGGCUACACACGUGCUACAAUGGAUGGUACAAAGAGCUGCAAACCCGCGAGGGUAAGCGAAUCUCAUAAAGCCAUUCUCAGUUCGGA
rnacentral:rRNA from 1 species